UAGGGAAUAUUGGUCAAUGGAUGCAAGUCUGAACCAGCCAUGCCGCGUGCAGGAAGAAGGCCUUCUGGGUUGUAAACUGCUUUUGUCAGGGGAUAAAAAGCUCGUGCGCGAGCAAUUGCAGGUACCUGAUGAAUAAGCCACGGCUAACUACGUGCCAGCAGCCGCGGUAAUACGUAGGUGGCAAGCGUUGUCCGGAUUUAUUGGGUUUAAAGGGUGCGUAGGCGGCCCUGUAAGUCAGUGCUGAAAUACCCCGGCUUAACCGGGGGGGUGGCAUUGAUACUGCAGGGCUUGAGUACAGAUGAAGUAGGCGGAAUUGACGGUGUAGCGGUGAAAUGCAUAGAUAUCGUCAAGAACUCCGAUAGCGAAGGCAGCUUACUAAGCUGUAACUGACGCUGAGGCACGAAAGUGUGGGGAUCAAACAGG
rnacentral:rRNA from 1 species